GACAUGCAGGUGAUCGCCGUUGAAAGACGGUUUCCUCUUCGGAGGCACCUGCACAGGUGCUGCAUGGCUGUCGUCAGCUCGGUGUCGUGAGAUGUUGGGUUAAGUCCCGCAACGAGCGCAAACCCCUUAUCCCCCAGUUGCCAUCAGGUAAAGCUGGGAACUCUGGGGAGACUGCCGGUGAUAAACCGGAGGAAGGCGGGGAUGACGUCAAGUCCUCAUGGCCCUUACAUCCCGGGCUACACACGUGCUACAAUGGCAGGUACAGAGGGCUGCAAAGCCGCGAGGUAGAGCGAAUCCCAGAAAACCUGUCUCAGUCCGGAUUGAAGUCUGCAACUCGACUUCAUGAAGGCGGAAUCGCUAGUAACCGCGAAUCAGCAGGUCGCGGUGAAUACGUUCCCGGGCCUU
rnacentral:rRNA from 1 species